rnacentral:rRNA from 1 species
GACGGAGGAUGCAAGCGUUAUCCGGAAUUAUUGGGCGUAAAGCGUCCGCAGGUGGCUGUUCAAGUCUGCUGUCAAAGCGCAGAGCUUAACUCUGUACAGGCGGUGGAAACUGAAGAGCUAGAGUAUGGUAGGGGUAGAGGGAAUUCCCCGGUGUAGCGGUGAAAUGCGUAGAUAUCGGGAAGAACACCAGUGGCGAAAAGCGCUCUACUGGGCCAUAACUGACACUGAGGGGACGAAAAGCUAGGGGGAGCGAAAAGGG